UGGGUUAGAACUCGUCCCAAUCGACCAUCGCAAUGAGGUCGAUGGCGUCCGCCACGCCGGCAGCGGACCCAACGGCAGCCUGUCUGCCCGGUCUCGCCAUGAGGCCACCAGGAACACCAGUCAAC
rfam:Pseudomonas sp. Chol1 Contig74, whole genome shotgun sequence.